GUUUCAAGAAACGAAUAUGUAAUAUCAUGCUUUUCCACCUGCGUGUUCUGAAGCAACUGAGAGAUGAAUAAGAGGAGUUUUAAAUGCUUGUCAGCAGCCACUAACUCAGCAGAUGAUCUCCAUGAAGACUGAAUGAAAACACUACAAGAACAAGAAUCAUCAAAAGAGCCUAUCAAGAUUCUAGUUUGUAACCAACAGAUGUCUACAGAAAGAAAACAUGUAAAUACUGAGGUAAUGGCGAAUAAUUGGUCACACUCAGUUCAACUGAGAGAAUGACCAAAGGGAAGAAUUGUUAAAGAAAAGUAAAAAUGGAGACCAUGGUUUUGAUGUACUUCAAGGCCAACCAUAACCACAUAGCCAAAACUUGAGCCAUUCUGAAAUGACCUAAGUUUUCACUGAAAUGCCAGCUCUAAUCAUAAGCAAAACACAAAAUGUAUGCUUUUGUCUUUGUCAGCAUGAUUCAAUAAAAUUAAGCCAACCAGCUAUAGACAAAUCAGCUUAAAUAGCUCUGCUUGCCUGAAAAACAGAAUGUUAGUAUAUAACAGCCAAUCAUGAAAAAGAUCAAAAUAAUCUCUCAUCUGUGCUUCAUAAGCUGCACUGCAAUUGUGUGUGGGAGGGGGCUUCAUACCACUUUAGUUUGAUGUGUCCCGAUUGCAUUCUAUACUUUCUCUUAUUGUAUGACAAUAUGCUUUCAACUUUUUCCUAACUUGUCUGGGCGCGGUGACUCACACCUAGUGGCUUGCCCCAGCACUUUGGGAGGCCGAGGUGGGCAGGUCACUUGAGGACAGGAGUUUGAGACCAGCCUGGCCAACAUGGUGAAACCCCAUCUCUACUAAAAAUACAAAAAUUAGCCAGGCAUGGUGGCGUGUGUCCUUAGUCCCAACUACUUGGGAGGCUGAGGCAGGAGAUUCUCUUGGACCUGGGAGGUGGAGGUUGCAGUGAGCCGAGAUUGCACCACUACGCUCCAUCACAAAACAGAGCAAAAUGAAACAAAACAAAAUGAAACAAAACACAACACCUUUUUCCUAACUUGAUCUGUUUUUAUUUUAAUUUUUUUGACACUGUCAUAUGUCCCAAAAAACAGUAAGAGCAAGAUAUUAAUGAUGCCACUCCAGGGAUAUGCAAGGGAGGUGGCUGCCUGAGAGUUGAGGGAGGCACAUGGAUGAGGUUGGAGGGUUCCAAGAGCACCUGAAAUUCCCUUGAGUCAAUGGCAUUUAGGACAUCUGUAAUUCUUUUCAAAGGAAGAUGCACAUUGGUUUCUGUUCUCCUUUAUGUCAUUGGAAACUGCUAAAAUAGAAAUUAUUGUAACUGUUCAGCAGAUGUGGGAAAAAAAUCUUCUGGCUGCCUUUUACUGGCUAAAUACAAAGUAAUGUCUUGCUGAUACUCCUUGUGGAAACUGAUGUACUUUGAUAUAUGCAUUUUUGAAGUUAUAAAAAUGAGGAGGUGAAAAAAUAUAAGUGAAACAAGAUAACUUCCUGACUAUUGAAUAUAUUUCCAUUCUUAAAAGCAAAACUUUUGUUUUGCUCACUCUAUGUGAAUACUUCCUGUGACAAGAAACUUAGUACUUACAGGCAGCUUAUCCUCUUUUAAAAACUGCCACUCUAAGUAUCAGAAUAAUGAUAUUAGGUAAUUUCCAGAAAGUGUUUUUAUACUAACCACAAAAUAUUUCUCAUGGUUUAAAACCUCUGUCUGAUAGAGGUAUAGGCAGGAUGUUAUUUCAGAUCUUUAAGCUGAUAUUAAACUCCGAAUUUAAAGAAGUCCUCAUUUCCUUCCUCUCUCCCUACUCUUAUGGCUGGCCCUGGUGGUCACUGACUCACUAACUGCUCCUUCUCCAUGCCCACCUGAGACUGGACCUAAAUUCUAGGGACAUACUUUAUUGAGUCAUGUACACAUUGAAACUACACUACCAAGUCAUUGCAUAAAGAAAUUCUUCAUGUAGAAUAUUUAGAAUAGCAAACCUCUAUGAUUGUAUGUCAUAAUUUUCUACUUGACACUGUUAGUAUUUCUGAUCUUAAGAGCCAGACUUCUAGUACAAAGAGUAGGCUUCUUCCAGAAAUCCCAUGGUAAAAUUGUACUGCUAAACAAGAAAACAUGUCAUUGCAAUUGUAAUAUUAGAAAAAGCAAGUUAAAAUUCUAAUAAGACAAAAGAUUUUUUUUUAAACCAUAAAAUAGCUUCAUUGAAGAUCUCAGGGUGGCUAUAAGACAAUGGAUACUACUCAACACUUAUCUGUGAAAAAAGUGCCAGAGAAGCAAUUACUGGAAGUCAAUUGUGUAAUAUUGGAUUUGAAUGUCAUCCAAGGUGUCAGCACUUGCUUAGAAGGAGAGUCAUUAUAGUCUCUCAAAACACAAGGUAAUAUUUGACACAAGUAGUAUUCAAAGAAUGUAUGUGAGAAGGAAACAAUAUAUUUAGCAGUUUUUCUUCAAGUUGGAAUGUGUAAAAAAUAUGCAUUUAAAAUAGUAAAGUGAUAUAUCUUCCCCUUCUUUAAAUCAUGAUGUCUUGAGAUUUUCAACCUAAUGAACUGAAGAGUUGCAGUGUUCAAAGUAAUCUCAGAACAAGCUAUGUAUUGCACAAAUGCAUUUAGGACUCUUGUCAAAGUGGGCUUUUGAGAGGCAAGGUUUGUUGAGAGAGAAAAGAUUUGUACAUUUUCAAGCUCCUAAAAGAUUGAAGGUCUGAACUUCAGUUACUCUAGAGAUCACAGGAAGAAGAAGAAUACAGGCUGUAACGUAGGAAGGCUACUGUUUAUUAGGGAAGAAGGACAGAUCAUGGGGGAAUAAAAAGGAAAGAAAAAAGACAUGGUAAGAUCUGUGACUUCUUUCCUCUUCAUUUCAGGCUGAGCCUUGAGGAUAAGGUGUUAAAAACUAUUGGAAAUGCAAGGACACAAGCAGCAGAGUAAAAAAGCAACCUACAGAAUGGGAAAGAACAUUUGCAAAUCAUAUAUGUGAUAGGGAGUUAGUAUCUAGAAUAUAUAAAAUUCUGCAACUCAACAAAAACAAAGUUCUGGAGAUUGGUUGUGCAAUAUUGUGAAUACAGUUUACACUACUGGACUGUAAAAUGGUUAAGAUAUUAAACUUUAUAUUAUAUGUAAACACAAUUUUUUAAAAAGUCAGCACCACAAUAAAAACAAUCAAAAUAUGGUUUAGUUAUAUGGCAGAAGUGUAAAAGCAAUUGCAAGAAAAGCAAAAAUUAACAGGUGGGACCUAAUUAAACUAAAGAGCUUCUUCACAGCAAAAGAAACUAUCAACAGAGCCAAAAGACAAUCUACAGAACAGGAGAAGAUAUUCACGAACUAUGCAUGUGACAAAGGUUUCACAUCCAGACUGUAUAAGGAACUUAAACAAUUCAACAAGCAAAAAACAAGUAACCCCAUAAAAAAGUGGGCAAAGGACAUGAACAGACACUUCUCAAAAGAAGACAUACAAGCAGUCGACAAACAUAUGAAAAAAAGCUCAACAUCACUAAUCAUCCGAGACACACAAGUCAAAACCACAAUGAGAUGCCAUCUCAAACCAGUCAGAAUGGCUAUUAUUAAAAAGUAAAGGAAAACAGAUGUUGGUGAGGCUGCAGAGAAAAGGGAAUGCUUAUAACUGUUAGUGAUAAUGUAAAGUAGUUCAGCCACUAUGAAAAGCAGUUUGGAGAUUUGUCAAAAAAAUUAAAACAGAACCACCAUUUGACCCAGCAAUGUCAUUACUGGGUAUAUAUCCAAAGUAAAAGAAAUUGUUUUACCCAAAAGACACAUGCACUUGUAUGUUCAUCGCAGUGCUGUUAGCAAUGACAUGGAAUCAACCUUAGUGCCCAUUAAUGGUGGACUGGAUAAGGAAAAUGUGGUACAUAUACACUAUGGAAUACUAUACAGCCAUUUAAAAGAAGGAACUCACGUCCUUUGCAGUAACAUGGAUGCAGCUGGAGGCCAUUAUCCUAAGAAAAUUAAUACAGAAACAGAAAGCCAAAUACCACAUGUUCUCACUUAUAAAUGGGAGCUAAACAUUGGGUACACGUGGACCUAACGAUGGGAAUGAUAGACAUUGGGAACUACUACAGGGGGUUAGAGGGAAAGGGGCAAGGGUUGAAAAACUACCUAUUAGGUAUUAUGCUCACUACCUGGCUGAUGGGAUCAGUCAUACCCCAAACCUCAGCAUCAUGCAAUAUACCUAUGUAACAAACCUGCAUGUGUACCCCGAAUCUAAAAUAAAAGUUGAAAUAUGAGAGAAGUGGACUGUCCCAACUGAUAAACAUAGUAAAUAAAUACUAAUACAAUCAUUUCCUUUAUUCACUGUGAAAAUAACAAGUGCUAAAAUAUUGUUAUAAUGUGUCACGAAAAAGUAGUAACAGUACAGCGUUCUGAAACAUCAAGGGCAAGCUAACAAGAUUAUUAUAUUUCUUCUCCAGGAACUACUAUGGGGAGUUUUACUGCUUAAUGCUGAGCAAGGAAAACUUUUUAAAGACUGUUUCCUAUAAAAGAUAGUGUGAGUUAAGUUGUCACUAGGUCCCUAUGGUAUAAAAGUUACUUUAUCUCAUAUCAAAAGUAAAACGGACCAGUUGCAGUGGCUCACACCUGUAAUCCCAGCACUUUGGAACGAGGAGUCAGGAAGAUCAGUUGAGGCCAGGAGUUCAAGACCAGCCUGGGCAACAUAGUGAGAAUAUGGUAUAUAAUGUAAAAGUUACUUUAUCUCAUAUCAAAAGUAAAAACAGGGGCCAGGUGCAGUGGCUCAUACCUGUAACCCCAACACUUUGGGAGGUAGAGUCAGGAUCCCUUGAGGCCAGGAGUUCAGGACUAGGGCAACAUAGCAAGACCCUGUAGCUACAACAAAAAAAAAAAGUUAGCCAAGCAUGGUGGCACAUACCUGUAGUCCCAGUUAGUUGGGA
rnacentral:lncRNA from 1 species